AAACUACGAAUCCACAAAGGAAACGACUUAGGCCCUUAAAAUCUCCAAGAACCCGAACUGCUCUUCCCAAGAAUCACACAGAUUCUUACAAACCAACACUCAAUAGUACACCUCUAAAAGAUCUAUGAUAGUACAAGAGUUUUCACUAGUUUACAUGUUGAAAACACUCAAAGAAAUUGAGCCCUAAUCACAGAAACGAAGGU
rnacentral:lncRNA from 1 species